UUGAAAGGAUAAUCGAGUGAACAAUUUCAAAAAUCUGUCAAUUCAUCAUCAUACAUGCUCUUUCGAGACAUGGCCAGUAAGCUCUUCAAGAGCUGAUAACAGUAAGCUCUAUUGAGCUGAAAACAGUAAGCUCUUCUGAGCUAAAACAGUAAGCUCUUCUGAGCUAAAACAGUAAGCUCAUACAAGCUAUGGUGAGUCCGCAACAAAUGCAGGAGCACGACCAUUUCGGUAAUUCCAGUAACACGUCACUCGUAUCCAAUGAAUUCACAUAGUUCAACCAAGGCUCGGUAACA
rnacentral:lncRNA from 1 species